CUCUUGAUGUGAUGCUAUUCUUUUUUGCCAAUACUGCAACACAUGCAAUGGCAUGGAAUGUCUCCCUCCACUUUCUGCAUAGGUGUAACUGAAAAGCUGCUAGCUUCGCAUCUUCCUUUUCAGUGCCUAGACUUUUCACAUGGAAGAGUUUGUUUUCUUUAGAUUACUAGUCAUGGGCGCAUUUCCUUCAUUUUAAUCACUCUCCCUUGUUUGUAAACUAGAAUUUCAUAAAAAUUCAAUUCAGUUUAUAUUUUUUUAUCAAUUUUUAUGUUUAGAAUAAAUUUAACUUAAAAAAAUCAUUAAGAAUAAUUACGUGG
rnacentral:misc_RNA from 1 species